rnacentral:rRNA from 1 species
UACGUAGGGGGCAAGCGUUGUCCGGAAUCAUUGGGCGUAAAGCGCGUGUAGGCGGCCAGAAAAGUCCGCUGUGAAAACUCGAGGCUCAACUUCGAGCUGUCGGUGGAAACUUUCUGGCUAGAGUCCGGAAGAGGAGAAUGGAAUUCCUGGUGUAGCGGUGAAAUGCGCAGAUAUCAGGAAGAACACCCGUGGCGAAGGCGGAUCUCUGGGCCGUAACUGACGCUGAGGAGCGAAAGCAUGGGUAGCGAACAGG